UACUAGCUAGGGUUUGCUCGAUACGCCUUCAAUCACAAACACCACAUCAUCCACAGAAAAAAACACACACACACACACACAUAUCAUCAUCCACGCAACACUACGUACGUACUAGCGCGAUGGCGGCAUCCAACAACAAGUCCGGUGUUUCGAUGCCUGCACUUCUGUUCGUGGCACUCAUGUUGACGACGGCGCCUGCUUCUUCAGUGCGAGCGCAGCAGUCACCUAGCUGUCUCUAGUUCUACUACUAUAUAUACACUAGCUACUACGUACAUGAAUAACUUACUCCCGUCUGUGUGUGCAUGCGUUGUAUGCAUGCGGAGACUAAUUCACAUGUUACGCUGCUAUACAGUGGCAUGUAAGGGGAGUUAAGCCCACAACCUACUAUAUAUUAUAUAUGCGCAAUAAAGACAGUUGAUGUAAUGUGUGUGUUUUGUGUUCGUGUUGUUGUAAGUGUGUGCUCCAAAUAUGAAAUAUAUACUGGAACCAUAUUGAUUUAAUGUUUUCCUUAUAUUACUCCAAAUAUUAUUAAGUAUAUUUCGUGCUACAUGUCUUGACCAGUUGCUACAAUAAGUAUAUAUUGCGAUACUGUGCAGGACACGUUGUAGCAUGAUAUAUUGUUUUCUAGCUGGCUGUGUAUAUAGAUUUACUUUUUCAUUUCAUUGUAUUUUUCACCAUCAACUUCGAAUAAUCUCCCCCAGUCAUUUCCAAACUAUCAUCGCAGAUAUAGAAAUAAUAUUCAUGUAUAUGAAUGCAUACUUGAACUACUCUACAGAAGUUCCAAGAAUUUUUCAUAGUUCUUAAUCAGGUAAUCGGCUAGGUCAAGGACCAGCAUCCUUGGACCAAAUACCAUUAAUGACACAAAUUCAGUUGUCAAUGCAUGUGUUAAGACCAUGAUUCUGUUAUUCAAACUUAUUAAUGAAGCCUAGGUAAAGGUGACAUACACAAACUUGUAGGGGGCCAUUACACAUUGCGUGUCUUGAAAUUCUGCAAACAAUGUGUUUCCUAUGUAGCUCACCAUGUGAAGGUCGAGGUCUUUUUGCUUGUCAUCUUCAGCCUUCAUAAUCUUCUUGCUGGUCUUGCCCUAAAGAGCUUCGAGACCUAGUCCAAUGCAAUCCUCAAACUGUGCUUGCUCUCGCUUAUUCUCAUCAGGUUGAGAUACUUAUCCUUUUCUUUUGUUGAGCAUACAGGUCGUCAUCAAACCUCAUCUCCUGAUCUUCAUGUUGCAUUCUGCAUAGCACAUGAGCAUGACAGAGACUCCAUGACCUAACCAUAUAUUAAUAACAUAUAAUUGUACGAGUGACACUUACAAACACCACAUAAUCAAGAUUUGGACAUCGAGUCUUGAGGUGGAACAUCAAGUGAAUGUCCUCAAAGUCAAUGAUAACCUUGCUUGGCCCACUGAGAGAAAAGUAAUUUCUUAUACACUUGUGACAAUCACAUCAAUACCCACCAAAGAUGCUCACAUGUACCAGUCGUGUAACCUCUUCAUUAAAGGUAGAACCUCGCAGAGUUCACGCCAUAGGAUAGAGGCCUAGCCAUCACAUAAUGUUCGGGGACAUCUUUGUAAUCUUCUUUUGUUGUCCUUCUAAUUGUCUUCAAGGUGUCGGACUUGCUAAGACAUGAUGAUGUCGGCUACUGGUAGCUGCCUUUUUCUCUUUGAUAAUUCGAACAUCCACUUCUUCAUGUCUACCUAUGGUGUCUUCUUAUAUGCCAUAAGUAUUUGCAUUGUGGGAACAAUAGGAUCUUUCCCUUUGGCUUCAGGACCUUUAGGUUGUUGAGCCACUUUUUUCUUGCUUGGGGAGGGUGGAUUCUUGGUUGGCGAUAGCAGGUUAGGUUCUAGCCCCUUAGGUUUUGAGGCUCUUCUUGCCUCUCAGUCCGGGUGGUGCCUUCUGAAUUGGUGGUGAGGGUGUAUUAGGUUCUCACUCUUUAGGGUAUGACGACCCUUCUUCUUCUAAUGAUCCGAGAAACGACAACAAAAGAAUGGAACCAUUCAACCUAAAGUCUCAUCGAGGCCACAAUAUGUUUUCAUUGAUAAUUUGUCUAAGAUUCACAAUCCCCUCUGAAGUGGCGAUGUUUAACUAGUCAAUUUGACUCCCUAGGGUCCUAGCAUGAUUGUCAACACUUGUACCUUGGCGCAUUCAUUAGGAAUGGGCUAACAAUGAAACAUGUGGCCCAAAAUUGCCAAGCCUGUGGCAUCGAUGUGCAUUGUUGGAUUCAAUGAAAAAUGGUGGCGCGGUAGGAAGCAGUGACAACUACGGUGAUGAUGACAACGGAAGGCAAAGCUAGUGUAUGGGAACAUGUAGGGCUUCUGGUGGUAGGGUGGUGCUAUUGUGGAAGGCUAACCAAAUGGUUGGACACUGAGAAAUGCCUAUAUAUUUAAGUGUUGCAAUUGGACAAUCAGUUAUACUUUUUGUUGAUUGUAUUUUUAAUUUGAACAUAUAGAUACAUUUACUGACCAACAAUCCAAUUUAGACCUAGAAAACAAUAAUUACAUCUAGUGCAAGAAUGAUUUUUUGCAGACAGCUCCCAUUUCUAACAAAGACGGACGCCCUCCUCCUUAGGCCAAUUCCGGUCCUAGGCGACGGAUCAUGGGCGGGCGCAUCCCCCGGUGGCGAAACCAUGGCGGGCACGCCCCCGGCUGUGGAUCCAGGGUGGGCACGUCCCCGUGAAGGAUCCAGAGCGACGGUUAGUGUUGGCAAUGGGUAAAUCCCCAUCGGGUAUGAACUCCCCAGACUCAUCCCCGUAACAACAAUAUGACACCACGGGUAUCCCCAUAUACAGUGAUGGGUGGGGGAAUUUCCCCAGACCCAUACCCGGGUGGGUAAAUUAGACCCGGCGGGUCACCCAUACCCGCCAAACAUCAAUAAUUCACAAGCACCAGUCACGUAGUAGCAAUUCACAAGCAUCGUCACAUAGCCAUUCAUAAGCAUCGUCACCUAGCCACUUCACCAUAUACCUAGCAAAUAGCAACAUAAUAAUUUCUGCUGCAACCACUAGUCACAACACCAUAAUAGUUCAUUGUCCAUACAAAUCAUGUAGUAGAGAGUAGUACUUUGCUAGCACUACAUAGGGUUUCAAUGUAUGGGCUGCCGGUGGACUGGUGGCUGGUGGGCUUCUUUAGUUUUGGGCUGGGUAUUUUUCACCCAUGGGUAAAUGGGUAUGGGGACUACUAGAACGUCCCCAUACCCGCGUACCCAAUGGGUGAAGGGUUUGCUCCGUUUGUGUACCCAUGGGUACUGGUUUCACUCCAUAUUGGUACCCUAAUAGAGUAAAUAAUCGGGUCGCGGGUCCUGGGCCCCCAUUGACAUCUUUAGCGACGGUGCUUCUUGCAGCAGACCCAGCGACAACGGCAGUAGCCUGUGGAUGAGCUCGGUAGGCUUGUCCAUAGGUUUUUUAUUUUAUUUUCGGAGGCAUGUAAAACAACCACCUCUGUUAAUCCGCAUUAACAGAGACCUUUGGACGGACGCGGUUGCUUUGACCGCUUCCGAAAAUCUAAAACGACCGUCUUGACAAAGAAUAUUGUGGUACGUAGUUUGUUUAUUAUUUUAUAAUCGACAGGUAUUAAGGAGCACUGCCUCUGUUAACUGUGAUUUAUAUUGACAUUUUGACAGACGCGGGCGGCACGGCCGUCUCUGAAAAUAUUUUUUUUGACCACAUCUGAAAAUAGUUUUUGUGCUAGUGGCUCUCACCGGCCGCUACUAGCCUGGUUUAUUCAUCAUGAAAAAGCAAUAGAAAUAUAUAGGUCCCAAUUUUGCUUUCGGCGGGCUAUUCUCAUUCGUAUAUACAAACUUGAUCAUAAGCUCAAAUGACUACAAGAGCAUCUGUUAUAUAGAAUCACUAUUUUGAGGCAUGUACACAGUGUUUAGGUUUCUGUUGUACAGCUCACAACAGUAUAUAUAGAAUCACUAAUUUGAGGCGUGCAUAUAUAGUGUGUAGGUUUCUGUUCGAUCUACAGUUCACAACAAAUGAUUCUACAUAAAAUUUCUUCUGUCAUCAAAUUAAAUACCUGCAUAGUCAAUUUGAAACAUACGAUUUGAAGUAUAAAAGUUCUUUCAGGCUUAUAUUAAUUGUUAUGCUAUCUUCUUGUUCGUUGGUUUCUAAAGCAGUACGAUGUUAGACCUGUCGUAGGUCCUCUAAUCUAAGCUUGUGUAUGCCAGCAAGUUAUGAUCCAGCGCAUAUUAGUCUUACUUAGGUCUUGUUUAGAUGUGAAAAUUUUUUGGAUUUCGCUACUGUAGCACUUUCGUUUGUUUGUGGUAAAUAUUAGCCAAUCAUAGAUUAACUAGGGUCAAAAGAUUCGUCUCGUGAUUUAUAGUCAAACUGUAUGAUUAGUUUUUGUUUUCGUCUAUAUUUAAUGCUUCAUGCAUGUGCCACAAGAUUCGAUGUGACAGAGAAUCUUAAAAACUUUUUAGAUUUCGGAGUGAAACAAGACCUUAAUUACUUAUUGCAUAUUAUUAGUCUCCAAGUCCAGAAGGCUACUCCUCGGAUAAGCCGUAGCCCGUAGCCAGGCAGCAGGCAGGCGGCAUGCAUGGCUGCAAUGCGCGCACGCUAGUGUGCAUCGUGUCUCUUUUUGUUUGUGUGAGCCGACGGACAAGCACUAGAUUAAAUGGAGGUAUAUGGAACAAUCCAACAAGAUGGGACGCCUCGAAUAUGUCCGGGUACGUUGCAUCGUUGAAAAUGUAAGCUUUUCUUGUGUUCUUCAUUGGUGUGCCGCCGCCGGCCGGACAAUCACUAGCCCCAGAGACACUUGCAAUCUUUAGGUCUUGUUUGGUUCCUUGUUAAAUUUAAACUAGCUAAAAUUAUUUUAGUUACUUUUAGGUGACUAGUGAAACUAAACUAUUUUAGCUCUUUUUAAUUAGUCAGUGUAUUUGAAAGUUUAGUUAUUAAAGCGGUAAUGUUACUAUUAAGACGUCCGUCCGCAUCGGACGGACCACUGACUCGACUGAGCGCGGCGCUUCGCUUUCUCCGCCCGUUCUCAUCCGCGUCGCUCCCUCCGCUCUGCUUUCUUCUCUAAGGGCUUCCCUCACUCGCUGUUCUCUGUCCCUCCUCUGCACUCGCUAGUCGUGUUGUCGCUAGGAUGGAGGGUCACCGUGCCCGUGCGCUAGCAAGCUCAGGAACACAACCUCGCUGCCUGUGCUGCCUUCCCCCUUCUUCCCUCGUGCCACCGCGCUCUCCACGUACCCCACCGGAGAUGAGGACGAUGGCGGCGGCUUCGAUGAGGUAGGUGGCAGAGAGAUUUAGAUCCGAGGCCUCCUUUCUUCUAUGGAUCUAGAUCUGAGACCUUCUCCCUCCUCUAGAUCUGGAUUUGAGCCCUCCCCUCCUCCUUCCUCGUCCUCCACAACCAUAAUUUACUAAUUCUCCUAGUGAGGUGGACUUCUCCUAGUGUUUUAGCAUUCAAAAUUUAGUAUAAACUUUUUCUACUAAAUGUCUUCUAGUAGGAUUCCCUAGUGUUUUGACUAGUGGUAGUAUUUUAUAACUACUUAAAAACACUAGGAGAAUUCCACUAUUUUGGUAGUGCUCCUCCUGCUGCUCCUCCUUCCUCCUCCCUCCUCCUCCUCCUCUCCUAUUUGGAUUUAAGGGAUAUGGUGGUAGCUAAGGUUCUAGUGAGCUCUUGGUGUUCAACUCUCGUCGUUCUUAGGAAUGGUUUUCUUAGGCCUUGUUUAGUUCCAAAAAUUUUUGCAAAAUAGGAAUAGUAGCACUUUCAUUUGUAUUUGACAAAUAUUGUCCGAUUAUGGACUAACUAGACUCAAAAGAUUCGUCUCGCAAAUUACAGGUAAACUGUGUAAUUAGUUAUUGCUUUUAUCUAUAUUUAGUGCUCCAUGCAUGUGCCGCAAAAUUCGAUGUGAUGGGGAAUCUAAGAAAUUUUGCAAAAAAAUUUUGGGAACUAAACAAGGCCUUAAUGUUGCAACAGAAGAUUUGGGAAUGUUGUAAUGGUAUUUUUUUUGUUGCAGCAGACCUUUUUCUAAUGUUGUGCUAGUGAUGCUUGAGAUGUUGCCGUUGUUGCAACAUCAUUUUUUUGAUGUUGCAGCGGAUGUUGUUUAAUGUUGCAGUAGACAUUUUUUGAUGUUGCAGUUUAUACUUUUUGGUUGUUGUAUUAGAUGUUAUCUUGAUGUUGCAGUAGCUCUUUUUGUUUGUAGCAACCGUUUUUUUGUUGUUGCAGCAAUUUUUUUAUUUGUUGCAUUAGAUGUUUUUUUAUGUUGAAAUAGGUUUUUUUCGUUGUUGCAACUGGUGCAUGGGCUAUGAGGGAUGAGCUGGUGGCGAACGGAGGAGCUGGGGGUAGGCAAGGUUGAGGGCGGGCGGAUCUGUGUGCAUGGGGGGGGGGGGGCAUGUCCCUGGCGUGAUGAGCGGGGGAAAUUAAAGGGCAUGUUUCCUUUCUUCUUCGUAUAGGGGCGGCGGAGGUGCUCAGGGUUGGCGAGGUUGAGGGCAGGCGGAUCUGUGCGCGUGGGGGGCAGGGGUGUAUCCUUGGCGUGGUGAGCGGGUAAAAGAGCCGGUUUUCUUUCUUCUUUCGUACAGGGGCGGGCGAGAUCGGGUUUGCAUCUCUACUUUUUUUCCAUGUGGAGGGAUGGGCGGAGGCGUGUACUAAGGACCAGCGUUCGGACAAUAGCGCUCGGAUCGGACAUCUGGGCGCUAGCAGUACCGCUAUUAAAGUGACUAAAAUUUAGCAAAAGGAGCCCUUAGACUGAUGACCCUGCAUAUGCGCUAGGGUUAUACGCACUCCUUGCGCCGAGCGAUAGCCAGCCUGCCGAUGGAUCGAUGGCCUAUAAAUACUAGGGUUUGCUCGAUAUGCCUUCAAUCACAAACACACACACAAUUAAGAAGAAAACACACACAUCAUCCACAGGUACUAGCGAUAGCAUCCAACAACAAGUCCGUUGCUUCCCGGGCCGGCGCUCAUGUUCAUCCUAGCCGUGGCACUCUUGGCUUCAGUCCGAGCGCAGCAGUCACCGGCUCCACCGCCACCGUCCCAAAACCCGUGUCCUUCCAGCUUCACUAACAUAACUACGUUCGUUCAGGGCCAGGCCACUUACCUUUCAGUCUUUCACGUGGCAUCACGUUGAUACUAGCUCGUCCCUAACCCGGUUACUCCAGGCACCAGCACCACAAAACUGCCUUUGCUAUCCCACUACCAACAUCACCAUCCCCGUCGUUGCUCCCUUCUUCACCCCCAUUGUCGUGCCCAACGCCAAUGGCCCCCUCGCAUGCGUGCAAGGCCCAAUAUGAUGCGCACACCAGAAUUCAGCAUGCUGUCGUCACGAUCGAACACAAAGUUAUCGUGCCCUGCGAUAGGUUGACAACUGAACAAAGUAAAAUACUCGCCACUGAUGACAGUUAUGACCGCCACUAACUUAAGUGGAUUUAUUUAAGAAACAACCAUAUAAGGACAUCCCCAACCAAGAAAGUAGGGUAGUUUCUAUGUUCAUUAAUUAGGGUACCAAUUAAGUAAAAUGUUGAUGUAGUGGAGAGCGGUUAGGGCAGGGGAUGGUGCGGCGGCGAUGCGGCUAGGGCAGGGGGGUGCGCGUGCAAGAGAAAUAGGGGGAGUCAGCAAUAGGGAGUUAGGGAAGAGUUUUUUAUUCCUUGCUUAACCUAAAUGGCUACAAUGGCACAAUAUUUAUAGUCCCUAAUGGACUUAACCCUCUUCUUUGCGAUAAUAGACUUAAUAAUCCUCAAGCAAUCUAAAAUUACUCUCCAAGGAACUAUUGGAUUUGGACUGCUCUUUCUUUACAAGCAAAACUAUUUACUCCCUCUAUGUUCCAAAGAAAUUAUUCAUUUUGAGGUUGUCUUGUGUCAAACAUUUUAAACUUUGACUACAGAUAAAUCCUUUUGGGUUCAGUUUGAAAAUAUAAAAGUUGAUGUAAGUAGACUCAUCUCAAAAUGUUGUUUUAAAAAAUAUACAUUGACUAGACCUUUUAUAAUGGUUGGAAUCAUUUCCUAUCGCUUCUCAUCGUCUUCACAAAACAACUAUUUUUAUUGAUUUUACUCGUCGAAGGGUAAUAUUAUCACUGCACAUUACGCUCACACUCCCCACGCACGACCCCAUGCACGACCCCACGCCAAACUCGCCGCUCUCACCAAAUCGCUCGCACACACCUCACCCACGUGUUCUCCCUAGCCGCCGCCCUGCUCUCUCCCUCGCUGUAGCCGCCGCCAUGGCCAUCGCACGGCAUCGCGCCUGUGGCCCUGCCCUCUUCCUCGCUCAUUGCAGCAGCUAUUGUGCCCUCGGCCUCGCCGCCAGAUGCCGACGCUCUGCCCCCAUGACGCCACCCUCCGCGUCGGCGCCCCUCGGUAGGAAGCAUCACCGGCCGUCUGCCGCUGCAGGCACUGUCGGCGCCCACGUACCCAGUGGCGGGCGCAGGAUUUAAGGGUUGUGUAUUAAAAAAAAACUUGACAACUAAAUGGCUUUAAAUUUUUUUUGACAACCAAAUAGCUCAUAUUCGGGCCUUGUUUAGUUCACCCUAAAAACAAAAAAAAUUCAAGAUUUCCUGUCACAUCAAAUCUCGCAGCACAUGUAUGAGCAUUAAAUAUAGAUGAAAAACAAAAACUAAUUAUACAGUUUGCCUGUAAAUCAUGAGACGAAUCUUUUAAAUCUAGUUACACCAUGAUUGGACAAUAUUUGUCAAAUAAAAAUGAAAAUGCUACAGUGUCAAAAUCCAAAAAAAAUUGGAUCUAAACAAGACCUCGACAUGUAUAGUGCCAUAUAUGAUAUAUAUUGUAUAUAGUUCAUGCUACCGAUGGAGUUUGAGAAUAUUUUUACGCAAUUCACCUUUGCACGAGUGUGACAGGAGGCAAUAUUUGUUGUUUUUUGUAUACACUAAUACACAUAUGUAUAAAUACUAUAUAUAUAAAAUUUUUU
rnacentral:lncRNA from 1 species